GACGAACGCUGGCGGCGUGCUUAACACAUGCAAGUCGAACGGAAAGGCCCUGCUUGCAGGGUACUCGAGUGGCGAACGGGUGAGUAACACGUGGGUGAUCUGCCCUGCACUUCGGGAUAAGCCUGGGAAACUGGGUCUAAUACCGGAUAGGAGCCAUUUUUAGUGUGAUGGUUGGAAAGUUUUUUCGGUGUAGGAUGAGCUCGCGGCCUAUCAGCUUGUUGGUGGGGUAAUGGCCUACCAAGGCGGCGACGGGUAGCCGGCCUGAGAGGGUGGACGGCCACAUUGGGACUGAGACACGGCCCAGACUCCUACGGGAGGCAGCAGUGGGGAAUAUUGCACAAUGGGCGCAAGCCUGAUGCAGCGACGCCGCGUGGGGGAUGACGGCCUUCGGGUUGUAAACUCCUUUCGCUAGGGACGAAGCUUUUUGUGACGGUACCUAGAGAAGAAGCACCGGCUAACUACGUG
rnacentral:rRNA from 1 species